GGGAACAGAGGACGGCUGCUGAUUCUUUUCCAACAUCAGAAUCUUGUCAUUGAGGUCCGCAAACCGUGUCUCCCAUGGGUCCUUGUUUUCAGCCACUAUCUCUUGUGUGGCUUCCACUUCAGGGGUUCUUCUUCCCAUCCUCCUUUCUAUCUCAUGACGGAGAUCCGUCGGUGGUAGAAUUGAGGUGACUGAGACGUUCGUUGGAACUCUAGUCAUUGUGUUCUGAGUCGGAACUCAGUCUUGGGUCGCAGGAGGGUUUUGGAUCGAGGCUGGAACUUGAGCGGAUUGAUGUUGGGACCCCUCAGGUCUCAUACUCCGUGGUGCGGACUGGACUUCGACCACUGGUCCGACUGUUUCCUGGACAGGAUGCGGUUGUUGCUGCUGCUCCUGUCGCUGUUUCAUCUGGUUGAUUUCGUCCCGCAGAGCUUGUAUCUCGCUUUACAUAGCUCGAUACUUGCUUGCGCGAUUACAGGAGCACUGAGAUGGCCCUGGAGCAAAUUCAACAUGAAGUAAGGAGGAAGAUAGUCUACUCAUUCGGUUCAGGUUCCACGGCUGCAAAUUUCUUCUUUCCUCUUGCCAUUGUACUUGAGAAUAGAGAACUGACUUUUCGUAUCAGCUUCCACAGACGAUGCCAAAAAUGUUGAUGACUAAAUCCGGAUGACUCUCCGCUCAGAUCGCUAAACCCCGAGCCGCUUCAACGUCUUGAACCUACACAACCACGGUGAGCAAAGGAGACCAUGGUCUAGACAGCGGACCCUCCGAUGCCCAAGUCAGGUCAAGGGAAUCUGGGUCUAAGUUCGUUUGUAGAGAGAGUGUGUGAGAUAUUGCGUACCCGUUUCCUCAUUGUGAGAUGUUAUUUAUACUCCUCACCUGGAGAGGGCGUGUCUACAUAACUCGGCGCGUUUUGGGGCACUCACCACAUUCCGCGGGAAACUCGGUUGUACAACCGUCGUGUGGUCAUGCGGACGUGGGUGGCAUGCAGACGUGGGUGGUGGAAUAACCGUCUCUAGUUGUGCAAUAGUAGAACGGUAGAUUCCGGUCUGAGCGGUCUAAGCUUCACACCGACUGCCUCGGCCUCAGAUUACUCCGAACCGACAACCUCGGAGUAAAAGCGUAACUAGGGUCGAGCCGGGAUUCUUUCCCUUUGGUUAUUCUCGCAAUUCUAGACUUACUCUGGUGUUUCCGGUCGGAUCUGAAUGGUGUUGGACCUCGGAAUAGAGAGGACUCGGAUCUUCCCAUAACAGUAUUAUUUUUCCAUUGGUUUUCUGUUGGUUUCACGUUGUAUCAAAAUUCCAAUAAAAAGAAUUCAUAUUUGUUAAGAAAAUAUGAUUUCUUACACCCAGAUCCAUAGCUCAACUGGCAGACUGAGUGGAGAUACCUCGUUUCAACACUUGAGGUCUUGGUAUCGAUCCCUAGCGGGGUGGCUAACAUGGAGUGUGUGUACUGACAUGGGUGUGUACUAACAAGCUAACCCAAAAAAAAAAAAAAAAAAAGAAAGAAAAGAAAAGAAAAAGAAAAUAUGAUUUCUUGUUAAUGAGGACAGUAUCUAAUUUGAGAAACUGUAUCAAGAAUAGACCUUGCUUGGAUGUGGAAUCUAUUGUACUAGUCGAGCUUGUAUAGGCCUUAGCUUUGCCCAUUGACAAUACUGCACAUGCAUGAAAAUUCUGACCACUAAUUAAACCACUCAUACCUUAAACAUUGCAUGAUUUUAUUAUUGUUCAGGGCCAUCAAGAUUUUGGUGAGUUCUUUGAUCUUCCUCUGCCCGAGGCUUACUUGUGGAUGGUCAUCCCACAUUUCUUUCAUUCGUUUCGAGAAAUAGGUUUUCUUUGGACUCAAUUGACUAGUAUGACCCAACUGGGAGACCACAAAUUCAUUUCAGUAGUCUUUGGACCACUAGACCUGGUUUAUUUUUGCUAUAAAUCAUACGAUCCAACGAAGGUGGAACUUCGCAGGCAGGCAGCUGCUUCCUAUUUCAAUUGCAUGUUCAAGGGAUCUCCAGAAACAGCUGGAGAAGGUUUACUGUUGCAGACUCAUAUCCUACCUACUUUAAAUUUGUCAAGCAUGCUUGAAUCUGAGUGUUCUGUUGUUGGACUUCAGGAAAGAUUGGUGUUCUACCUAUCUGAUCCAUUCAACCGCAGGCAAACGAUGUGUGGUACUCUAGAUUUUCUUCCACCCGAGAUGGUGGAAAGUGUAGAGCAUGACUCUGGAGUAGACAUUUAGAGCUUGGGAGUCUUGUGCUAUGAAUUUCUGUAUGGGGUGCCACUAUUCGAAGCAAAGGAACACUCAGAUACAUAUAGAAGGUGUAGUCUGGAUUUCAGUUUUGUCCUUAAUUUGGUUGGAUUCUUUGAAGUAAAUGAAAUGGAUCCGGAGAAAAAAAUUGUGAAAAGUAAUGAUGCGUGGUUUUCAGUAAAUGAACCAGAUUGCUUUAAGCUGUUGCAUUUGGAUGCAUUACUGUACUGAAUAGUGAUAACCAGUUAAAAAUAAAGUGGACAGACUAAAUUGUAAAUAUUUUAGAAAUAUAUGAAAACUACAUUCCUAAAAAAUACAUGAAAAUUGUGUGGAUUGAUGAAAAAACUCUGGUUAAUAAGUUUUCCUUUCUUUCCUUCUUUGCUAUUUUCAGUUUCUAUUUUUUUUCAUUGUUUUAUUGCAUUUUUAAUUCUAUUUAUUUAAAUAAAAUAAUAUUUAUUUGUGUACAAAAGUGUCCCCGUGCCAAGAUUUUUGGAGUGUGCUUUGCUGGACACUUCAGUUAAUCUCUUCUGCGUCCAAAAGAUUAAAUAGUCUCUCACCAUACCACUUUUGAUGAAGACACCCUUUAUGAGUCCUUGACUUUGGCUAGCGAUUAAGGUUGUCUUUCUAUUUUCCAUUGCUCUUGCUUUCCUUACUCUAGAUUCCAAACAUAAUAGCUCCUCAUUGCAUGUCUCUCUGCAACAUGUUCUCCAAUUGGCUUUCUCCAUUAUCUCUUCCUGUGACACUUCAGCCACUUCUAUCAGCAAGGUAGACAUGUUUGGCUCACUUUUUUCUUUUUUCUUUUUUCCCUGAAAGGUGGCUCAAAGACUACUGGUUAUAUCACUUCCCAAUAUCCUGUUACUUUUUAUUCAAAGGUUUAUGAACAACCAGUGAAGCAGAUUCCUCCUCUUGUUGAUCUUCUCAUUCUGUAAAAGAUGCAAUCUUGUAGUUAGGUCAUUCAUUUUGCUAUUUCUGUAAUUGACAAAAUUAUUGAUACCACAACAUAUAAUGUUGCUUAAAAUUAUCCUUGUUGGUGAUUGAAGCAUGAUAACUCUCUAUUGAAAUCAAACUUUGGACAUUAUGUCUCAAUCAAUAAACAAGCCAUGACUGAAGCAUGAUAACCCUCUAUUGAGCUUGUUCUUUUUUGUCAAAUAUCACUAUUUAUGUUUUAUGGAUUAUUAUGGCAAGAAGAUUUAAUUUUCCAUUUUAUUUUUCUUUGAAUGGUUGGAUCUUAGAACUGUACAAUGAAUCUAUAUAUUUCCAUUAACCUUUGAAAGAAGUCUAUCUACUGGGCUUUGGCACAUUUAUCUUUUGCAGACUUAUCCAAAUCCUUUGCAAGAUAAUGCAGCAUAUUCAGUUGUUAAGUUAAUUUAGCUUUCUACUCAAGCUGAUUUCCUUUGCUCUCUCUCUUUU